rnacentral:rRNA from 1 species
GAUGAACGCUGGCGGCGUGCCUAAUACAUGCAAGUCGAGCGAACAGAUGAGGAGCUUGCUCCUCUGACGUUAGCGGCGGACGGGUGAGUAACACGUGGAUAACCUACCUAUAAGACUGGGAUAACUUCGGGAAACCGGAGCUAAUACCGUAUAAUCUAUUGAACCGCAUGGUUCAAUAGUGAAAGACGGUUUUGCUGUCACUUAUAGAUGGAUCCGCGCCGCAUUAGCUAGUUGGUAAGGUAACGGCUUACCAAGGCAACGAUGCGUAGCCGACCUGAGAGGGUGAUCGCCCACACGGGAACGGGGACGCGGUCCAGACUCCUACGGGAGGCAGCAGUAGGGAAUCGGCCGCAAUGGGCGAAAGCAUGACGGAGCAACGCCGCGUGAGUGAUGAAGGUCUUCGGAUCGUAAAACUCUGUUAUUAGGGAAGAACAAAUGUGUAAGUAACUAUGCACGUCGUGACGGUACCUAAUCAGAAAGCCACGGCUAACUACGUG